ACAACUGGGGGAUACCUUAGUCACGGCGAGUGACGCGGUAAAAGCUCAAAUUUGAAAUCUGGUACUUUCAGUGCCCGAGUUGUAAUUUGUAGAAUUUGUCUUUGAUUAGGUCCUUGUCUAUGUUCCUUGGAACAGGACGUCAUAGAGGGUGAGAAUCCCGUUUGGCGAGGAUACCUUUUCUCUGUAAGACUUUUUCGAAGAGUCGAGUUGUUUGGGAAUGCAGCUCAAAGUGGGUGGUAAAUUCCAUCUAAAGCUAAAUAUUGGCGAGAGACCGAUAGCGAACAAGUACAGUGAUGGAAAGAUGAAAAGAACUUUGAAAAGAGAGUGAAAAAGUACGUGAAAUUGUUGAAAGGGAAGGGCAUUUGAUCAGACAUGGUGUUUUUUGCAUGCACUCGCCUCUCGUGGGCUUGGGCCUCUCAGAAAUUUCACUGGGCCAACAUCAAUUCUGGCAGCAGGAUAAAUCAUUAAGAAUGUAGCUACUUCGGUAGUGUUAUAGCUUUUUGGAAUACUGUUAGCCGGGAUUGAGGACUGCUCUUCGGCAAGGAUGUUGGUAUAAUGGUUAAAUGCCGCCGCUAGAAAAAAAGACAAAACAAAAAAACCCCCCCCCAAAAAAAAAAAA
rnacentral:rRNA from 1 species